CAACCCGGGAUUGCCUUAGUAACGGCGAGUGAAGCGGCAAAAGCUCAAAUUUGAAAUCUGGUACCUUCGGUGCCCGAGUUGUAAUUUGGAGAGGGCAACUUUGGGGCCGUUCCUUGUCUAUGUUCCUUGGAACAGGACGUCAUAGAGGGUGAGAAUCCCGUGUGGCGAGGAGUGCGGUUCUUUGUAAAGUGCCUUCGAAGAGUCGAGUUGUUUGGGAAUGCAGCUCUAAGGGGGUGGUAAAUUCCAUCUAAAGCUAAAUAUUGGCGAGAGACCGAUAGCGAACAAGUACAGUGAUGGAAAGAUGAAAAGAACUUUGAAAAGAGAGUGAAAAAGUACSUGAAAUUGUUGAAAGGGAAGGGCAUUUGAUCAGACAUGGUGUUUUGUGCCCUCUGCUCCUUGUGGGUAGGGGAAUCUCGCAUUUCACUGGGCCAGCAUCAGUUUUGGUGGCAGGAUAAAUCCAUAAGGAAUGUAGCCUUGCCUCGGUAAGUAUUAAUAGCCUGUGGGAAUACUGCCAGCUGGGACUGAGGACUGCGACGUAAGUCAAGGAUGCUGGCAUAAUGGUUAUAUGCCGCCCGUCUUGACCCGGACCCA
rnacentral:rRNA from 1 species